rfam:Camelus ferus unplaced genomic scaffold scaffold92, whole genome shotgun sequence.
GAGGCUAUAGCUCAGAGGUAGAGCACAUGCUUAGCAUGCAUGAAGUCCUGGGUUCAAUCCCUAGUACCUCCA